rnacentral:rRNA from 1 species
CAGCCGCCGCGGUAAUACGUAGGGUGCAAGCGUUAAUCGGACUUACUGGGCGUAAAGCGUGCGCAGGCGGUUCGGAAAGAAAGAUGUGAAAUCCCAGAGCUUAACUUUGGAACUGCAUUUUUAACUACCGGGCUAGAGUGUGUCAGAGGGAGGUGGAAUUCCGCGUGUAGCAGUGAAAUGCGUAGAUAUGCGGAGGAACACCGAUGGCGAAGGCAGCCUCCUGGGAUAACACUGACGCUCAUGCACGAAAGCGUGGGGAGCAAACAGGAUUAGAUACCCUGGUAGUCCACGCCCUAAACGAUGUCAACUAGCUGUUGGGGCCUUCGGGCCUUGGUAGCGCAGCUAACGCGUGAAGUUGACCGCCUGGGGAGUACGGUCGCAAGAUUAAAACUUAAAGGAAUUGGCGGG